GAUGAAGAACGUAGCGAAAUGCGAUAAGUAAUGUGAAUUGCAGAAUUCCGUGAAUCAUCGAAUCUUUGAACGCACAUUGCGCCCUCUGGUAUUCCGGGGGGCAUGCCUGUCCGAGCGUCAUUUGCAACCCUCAAGCCCGGCUUGUGUGAUGGGUGCCGUCCCCUACGGGACGCGCCCCGAAGGCAAUGGCGGCGUUGCGGUUAUCCGAUCAGCCAAAGUGUAUGGGGCUUUGUCACUCACUUUACGGCCCGGACCGGCGCCAGUCCGAAUCAAUCUUUUUUCUAAAGUUGACCUCGGAUCAGGUAGGGAUACCCGCUGAACUUAAGCAUAUCAAUAAGCGGAGGA
rnacentral:misc_RNA from 1 species